UGGGGAAUCUUGGACAAUGGGCGCAAGCCUGAUCCAGCCAUGCCGCGUGAGUGAAGAAGGCCUUCGGGUUGUAAAGCUCUUUUUACCAGGGACGAUAAUGACGGUACCUGGAGAAUAAGCCCCGGCAAACUUCGUGCCAGCAGCCGCGGUAAUACGAAGGGGGCUAGCGUUGUUCGGAAUUACUGGGCGUAAAGCGUGCGCAGGCGGUUCGCCAAGUCAGGUGUGAAAUCCCCGGGCUUAACCUGGGAAUUGCGCUUGAGACUGCACGGCUAGAGUGUGUCAGAGGGGGUAGAAUUCCACGUGUAGCAGUGAAAUGCGUAGAUAUGUGGAGGAAUACCGAUGGCGAAGGCAGCCCCCUGGGAUAACACUGACGCUCAUGCACGAAAGCGUGGGGAGCAAACAGGAUUAGAUACCCCGGUAGUCCCUGAGCGGGCUGGCAAGGCGCAU
rnacentral:rRNA from 1 species